rnacentral:tmRNA from 1 species
GGGGGCGAUUGGAUUCGACUGGGUCACCGCUUGGUUGAGGUGGCGUGCCGUGGUUGAUCAGUUGGCCACGUAAAAAGCUGAUCACAACUUAAUUGCCAAUAAGCAAUUCGCACUGGCUGCCUAAAUAGGUGGUCCCGGCCUAGGAAUCCCCGCCUGAGGAGUCCGACAGCCGGUCACAAAAUCGGGCUGGCACCGAAUCAACGUCCGCUCCGUUCGGUGUAAGACAAGUGGUGGACUAGCUGCGACCGGGCCUUGUUUGUUGAGCCUGCCGUAGCGAGAUCAAUCGACGAAAUACGCACGUAGAGGCUUCAGUCACGGAACCACAGGACGCGGGUUCGAUUCCCGCCGCCUCCACUC